rfam:Oryza sativa (indica cultivar-group) chromosome 1, whole genome shotgun sequence.
AAAAAGACAAACUCUGAUUUCCGUGUCCAAUAUUUGACCGUCUGUCUUAUUUAAAAAAAUAUGAAAAUAAAUUUAAAAAAUAAGUCACGCAUAAAGUAUUAAUCAUGUUUUAUUAUCUAACAACAAUAAAAAUAAUAAUUAUAAAAAAAUUUUAUAUAAGAUGGACAGUCAAACGUUGGCAUAGAAACCAGGGUUUGCCUUUUUU